GACGAACGCUGGCGGCGUGCUUAACACAUGCAAGUCGAACGGAAAGGCCCUGCUUUUGUGGGGUGCUCGAGUGGCGAACGGGUGAGUAACACGUGAGUAACCUGCCCUUGACUUUGGGAUAACUUCAGGAAACUGGGGCUAAUACCGGAUAGGAGCUCCUGCUGCAUGGUGGGGGUUGGAAAGUUUCGGCGGUUGGGGAUGGACUCGCGGCUUAUCAGCUUGUUGGUGGGGUAGUGGCUUACCAAGGCUUUGACGGGUAGCCGGCCUGAGAGGGUGACCGGCCACAAUGGGCCUGAGGUACGGCCCAGACUCCUACGGGGGGCAGCAGUGGGGAAUAUUGCACAAUGGGCGGAAGCCUGAUGCAGCAACGCCGCGUGCGGGAUGACGGCCUUCGGGUUGUAAACCGCUUUCGCCUGUGACGAAGCGUGAGUGACGGUAAUGGGUAAAGAAGCACCGGCUAACUACGUG
rnacentral:rRNA from 1 species